rnacentral:misc_RNA from 1 species
GAGAUAGCAUAUGCACAUACCAAAAUCACUGACUAUAGCCCAGUUUGGGGCCUCAAAAACCAUCUAAGACAGCCGAGUCAUUAAGAUAAAUAUACACCAUCUCAGUUACCAACCACACGUCUCAGCCGCAAUCCUUCACCAGCCACUGCUGCAUGGCCGGUGCCCAGCAGAUGUGCAUUUUGUGUCUCGGAUGAAGUCCCCACAUCAGUUUGCUUCUCUUCGGAGUCUUCACCGAAGUUAUGGAGUCG